ACUGCCCCUGGAGGCUUUGCAGCGCUCCACCCUGCCACAGCUGUGUCAUUAGAGGGCAGAGAGAAGAGGGACUGUGCCGAGGCUUACGGGUCUGGCCUGAACACCUGACUGACUGCAGCACCACAGU